UACGGAGGAGGCAAGCGUUAUCCGGAAUUAUUGGGCGUAAAGCGUCCGCAGGUGGCACUUCAAGUCUGUCGUCAAAGACUGGGGCUUAACCCUGGAAAGGCGGUGGAAACUGAAGCGCUAGAGUGCGGUAGGGGUAGAGGGAAUUCCCGGUGUAGCGGUGAAAUGCGUAGAGAUCCGGAGGAACGCCGGUGGCGAAAGCGGCCACCUGGGUCUGACCUGACGCUGAGGUGCGAAAGCGUGGGGAGCAAACCGG
rnacentral:rRNA from 1 species